rnacentral:rRNA from 1 species
UGAGUUUGAUCCUGGCUCAGAUUGAACGCUGGCGGCAUGCCUUACACAUGCAAGUCGAACGGCAGCACGGGUGCUUGCACCUGGUGGCGAGUGGCGAACGGGUGAGUAAUACAUCGGAACAUGUCCUGUAGUGGGGGAUAGCCCGGCGAAAGCCGGAUUAAUACCGCAUACGAUCUACGGAUGAAAGCGGGGGACCUUCGGGCCUCGCGCUAUAGGGUUGGCCGAUGGCUGAUUAGCUAGUUGGUGGGGUAAAGGCCUACCAAGGCGACGAUCAGUAGCUGGUCUGAGAGGACGACCAGCCACACUGGGACUGAGACACGGCCCAGACUCCUACGGGAGGCAGCAGUGGGGAAUUUUGGACAAUGGGCGAAAGCCUGAUCCAGCAAUGCCGCGUGUGUGAAGAAGGCCUUCGGGUUGUAAAGCACUUUUGUCCGGAAAGAAAUCCUUGGCUCUAAUACAGUCGGGGGAUGACGGUACCGGAAGAAUAAGCACCGGCUAACUACGUGCCAGCAGCCGCGGUAAUACGUAGGGUGCGAGCGUUAAUCGGAAUUACUGGGCGUAAAGCGUGCGCAGGCGGUUUGCUAAGACCGAUGUGAAAUCCCCGGGCUCAACCUGGGAACUGCAUUGGUGACUGGCANGCUAGAGUAUGGCAGAGGGGGGUAGAAUUCCACGUGUAGCAGUGAAAUGCGUAGAGAUGUGGAGGAAUACCGAUGGCGAAAGCAGCCCCCUGGGCCAAUACUGACGCUCAUGCACGAAAGCGUGGGGAGCAAACAGGGAUAGAUACCCUGGUAGUCCACGCCCUAAACGAUGUCAACUAGUUGGUGGGGAUUCAUUUCCUUAGUAACGUAGCUAACGCGUGAAGUUGACCGCCUGGGGAGUACGGUCGCAAGAUUAAAACUCAAAGGAAUUGACGGGGACCCGCACAAGCGGUGGAUGAUGUGGAUUAAUUCGAUGCAACGCGAAAAACCUUACCUACCCUUGACAUGGUCGGAAUCCCGCUGAGAGGUGGGAGUGCUCAAAAGAGAACCGGCGCACAGGUGCUGCAUGGCUGUCGUCAGCUCGUGUCGUGAGAUGUUGGGUUAAGUCCCGCAACGAGCGCAACCCUUGUCCUUAGUUGCUACGCAAGAGCACUCUAAGGAGACUGCCGGUGACAAACCGGAGGAAGGUGGGGAUGACGUCAAGUCCUCAUGGCCCUUAUGGGUAGGGCUUCACACGUCAUACAAUGGUCGGAACAGAGGGUUGCCAACCCGCGAGGGGGAGCUAAUCCCAGAAAACCGAUCGUAGUCCGGAUUGCACUCUGCAACUCGAGUGCAUGAAGCUGGAAUCGCUAGUAAUCGCGGAUCAGCAUGCCGCGGUGAAUACGUUCCCGGGUCUUGUACACACCGCCCGUCACACCAUGGGAGUGGGUUUUACCAGAAGUGGCUAGUCUAACCGCAAGGAGGACGGUCACCACGGUAGGAUUCAUGACUGGGGUGAAGUCGUAACAAGGUA